CGCCCGCACGCCCGCACAAGCUGCUCCGGGCUCCGCUGCUAGGCUAGGGUUUGGACUUUGGAUUGGAGCCGCACCGCCGCACCGCCACCGCAGCCGCCGCAGUGCCGCACAGCCGCCACUCCCGUCUUGGUCUUGCGGCCAGUCGCCCUCGGGCCUCGACCAUCAGCCCCUCGCCCGCUCGCCGAGACACCGAGUCGGCAUCGACCGUCGUCGCGUCUCCGAGGUCCAGCGCCUAGUGGCCCAGCUCCAAGCCUCCAGCCAUCGGCGCCCGCCCUCCUCCGCCGAGACGCCGAGUGCCGAGCGCCCGAGCACCCCGGUCCCCAGCGCCCAACAAGCUAGCAGGCUGCAGGUAUGCGCUCUUUGUUGAUGCGUCCAAGGAGUUGAGCUGAAUGCCCAGAAGGCUAGCAGGCUGCAGAAACUGAAGGAAAAGGCGGCAUUCAGGAACCCGGAUGAGUUCUAUUUUAAAAUGAUCAACAGUAGGACUGUUGGUGGAAUUCAUAGACCUAAGCCUGAAGAUAAUAAGUAUACUGAAGAGGAACUUCAUCUGUUGAAAAAUAAAGAUAUGGGAUAUAUCCUUUAGAGCGUUCAAAGUGAAAAAGGUUACUGAAUUGGAAUGGGAAAAAAUCUAUAAAGUGCUAAAGACUAAGUGGAUCGAGCGCGCGCGAGGGUUGUCGUAAAAUGUCCACCGUUAUUAAGAGGGCUAAUGAAUUCCCAGUCGAUUGUAGCUACAUGCAUGGAGGAGUGCACACACAUGCCUAUGUUGUUUGAAUUAAUCAAAUUGCUUGUUUGUUAGUAAUUAUUACCGCCUCCAACUAGGCUCUGUACGUCCACAAGAUCGUCAGCUAUUUCAUGCAAGCAUCCGCACAAGUGUCCUACUGCUAUAUGUUAUUGUGUUCUGAUACUUGAGACUUUUAUUAUGACUAUGUAUGAGAUAUUGUCUCUUAUUAGUACUGGAUGAGAUGUGUCUUAUUUA